UACGUAGGGUGCAAGCGUUAAUCGGAAUUACUGGGCGUAAAGCGUGCGCAGGCGGUUCUAUAAGACAGAUGUGAAAUCCCCGGGCUCAACCUGGGAACUGCAUUUGUGACUGUAGAGCUGGAGUGCGGCAGAGGGGGAUGGAAUUCCGCGUGUAGCAGUGAAAUGCGUAGAUAUGCGGAGGAACACCGAUGGCGAAGGCAAUCCCCUGGGCCUGCACUGACGCUCAUGCACGAAAGCGUGGGGAGCAAACAGG
rnacentral:rRNA from 2 species